UGCUCGCAAACCUUUCGAUUCGGUCGUAAACCGGUUUCGAAAUCGUGCUAACGCGCAGCAGAUUUCCAUUCACGGGAAGUGACAUCAGCGCAGUCAGGUGUCGCGAUGCGUUCGCGUCUCUCGCCGUGCGUUCCCUCCGGGGGAGCCGCGGAGGGUCGGAGCGUGUCACGCAUGCGUGCGGGAUCCGAGCCGCGGUGCAGAACGCUCGCGUUGUUCAUGAAAGAAUGAAGUACGUUCGCUAUGACUGCUUAGCAACCGUUCCCGGCGGCCCGCGUCCCUAGAGAGCCUGGCGUGCUGGUUGAGACACAUUCAUUAACCAAGAGGGAAUCUUAGGACGGAUUAAAUAUUCAUGUUGUUUACAGGAACAAAAGCUGCCAUUAAUGAAUAAAGGCAGCGCGGAGCGUUGUCUGUCUCACUGUACGCAGCCCAAUCAUGAGGGUUGAGCAAACAUAUUUACAUACCUGCUAAAUUCAGCCCAGAAUUGCGAUGGCAGCGUUGUCUUCCUGUGCGCUUCCAAGACGCCAGUAAACGCGUUUCAGGAGGCCUUUAUUCACCCCCCGGAGCCAUGUGAGGCACAUUUUAUUAUGGAUGGAUGCGCUUUAUUUGACUACUUUUGGACUGUUGAAAAUAAAACACCCACCCAGUGCCAUUAUAAAGCUUGGAAGAGCAAGGCCAAUUUUUAAUAUAACUCCAAUUGGAUUCGUCUGAAAGAAGAAAGUCAGGUUUUUUCUCCGAUGGACGUUGAGACAUAACUGAGAACUCCAUCAAAUGGUUCGAGAUACACUUACAUCAUGUCUUGCUGUCUUAUGCAAUGAAGUCUGGAGCUUUGCCAGCAUGCAGUGAACCAGAGAAGCGGAGAGACGUCCCAGCGGCCCGCAGCCCUGACAACACCCUUCUAUCCCCCUCUGAAAUCUUUAUUUACUGCCCCCGCACUCCUGCUCCCUCGCCGGGGCAAUUAAAGCACCGCUGUGUCAGACGAUGAUUUUAUUCAAAGCGACCUACAACAAAGUGACUCAUCCUAAGACAUCCCGACCAUCCCGACACAGCGACAUCAGAUCAACCAAUGGGAUGACUCUUGGAAUCAGACAGCGGUUAAACUUUCGCGCUGAAGACGUGCAGACGUGAUCGCCAGAAUGUCGCACCUGAUUCCUGAACCCAGAGGAGAAUUUUAGCGCUCAGAUGUUGCUCUUUCGAGGCUCCAGAGACUCCAAGGCAUCAUGAAAUUUACAUUAUUUACUUUUGCAACGCAUGUCUGUGGUCUCAUCGUGCAUGAUUCAUCAGUACAUGCUGUUUGAAAGGACAAAAAGGUUUGUCACUCGUAAAUACGUCACAUUACGGAUGCAAAGCGGUCGUGAAUGGCGUAUCAAAUGUUUCCUUGAAGUGUCAUUGAAAAAAUCAAAAUGCACGCAGUCCAAAUUGAGUUCAGCAUCGUUUGAGACGUUGUUGAGAUCUCUGUUGAAACUCUCUUCUCCUCUGGUUAUUUUAGGAUUUAAAUCUGUGGUCGUUUCAAACGCAAUUGCUCACAGCUUGCUCGUUCACAGCUCAAAAGACUUAAUGGAGAUCCUAGUUAUGUUUCAUGCAAGUAUAAACUUUGUUUCAGAUGUUUCUCCUAAAUUGCUUCGGAAAAAUAAAAAAUACACACAAAUGAAUCCGUUCAUACUGAUAUAUCUGAGAACAGUUUGAGACGUUGUUGAGAUCAUUUUUGGUUUUAUGAUUUAAGUCUCUCGAUUUAAUCCCAUUUCUGUCAUUUGUGAUUUUUCUUUAUAUAAGAAAAGUCCAUCCAAACUGAAUUGCUCAUAGGUUGCUCAUUCUUAGCUCAAAAGUCGGUUGUGCAUGUGAGAUUAUUGUAGGUUAUGUCAUUUAAAUCAUUCGGUUUAAUCUCAUUGCUGCCAUUUGUGAUUUUUCUUUAUUACAGGGAAGCUGAACUGAAUUGCUCACAGGUUGCUCAUUCAAAGCUCAUAAUAGACUUCCUUGUCGUGUUUCACAUAUCAACUUUUUUUUUUUUUUUUUUUAAUGUUUCCCUAAAAUUUGUUUGGAUAAAUUAAAAAUGCACACAAAUGAGUCAGUUGUUGAGUUCAUAUAGGUAUUGAUCACAGGCUUUGUUGUUUUGAUGUAUUUGAGUACAGUUUUGAGAUAUUGUUGAGAUCUCUUCUGAAACUCUGGAUGAGAUGCAUGUGAGAUUAUUGUUGGUUUCAUGAUACAAAUUUCUCAAUUUAAUCUAAUUUCUGUCAUUUGUGAUUUUUGUUUUAUUACAGAAAAACUGAAUUGCUCACAUGUUGCUCAUUCACAUCUCAAAAGACCUAAAGGAGAUCCUAGUUAUGUUUCAUGUAAGUACUAACUUGGUUUCAGAUCUUUCCCCUUAAAUACUUAGGAAAAAUAAAAAUACACACAAAUGAGUCAGUUGUUGAGCUCGUGUUGAGACAUUAUUGAGAUCUCUUCUGAAACAUAGACGUGUGAUUAUUGUUGGUUUUAAUUUAAAUCUCUUUUGUGAUUUUUAUGUUUCGUGCAAGUAUCAAAUUGGUUUUAGAUGCUGUCCUAGAAUUGCUUUUAAAUAAAUAAAA